GACGAACGCUGGCGGCGUGCUUAACACAUGCAAGUCGAACGGUGAAGGGGUCUGCUUUUGUGGGCCCUGGAUGAGUGGCGAACGGGUGAGUAACACGUGAGUAACCUGCCCCCUUCUUCUGGAUAACCGCAUGAAAGUGUGGCUAAUACGGGAUAUUCUGGGUCUGUCGCAUGAUGGGUCUGGGAAAGAUUGCGCCUUUGGGUGUUUUUGGUGGGGGAUGGGCUCGCGGCCUUUCAGCUUGUUGGUGGGGUGAUGGCCUACCAAGGCGGUGACGGGUAGCCGGCCUGAGAGGGUGGACGGUCACACUGGGACUGAGACACGGCCCAGACUCCUACGGGAGGCAGCAGUGGGGAAUAUUGCACAAUGGGCGCAAGCCUGAUGCAGCGACGCCGCGUGAGGGAUGGAGGCCUUCGGGUUGUAAACCUCUUUCGCCAGUGAAGCAGGCCUGCUCCUUGUGGGUGGGUUGACGGUAGCUGGAUAAGAAGCGCCGGCUAACUACGUG
rnacentral:rRNA from 1 species